rnacentral:lncRNA from 1 species
GGCCCGCCCACCGGGCCAGCGCCGCCGCCGCCACCACCACCCCUAGGUUCCCGGGCGCCACCGCCACCUGUUGCUUUAGAUCGGCUACAAAAUGUUCCCUUUUUGGCCUUUUGCCCAGGUCUCCCCAUCUGCCCUGGCCUACCAGGGCGGUGCCCAGAUUUAUAGGUCCACGGACAUUCCUCCAGCCCCGCCCGGAGACUCUCCACCCUCCCGGCGCCCGCCCCAGUACACCCUCUGAGGCUGAGCGGAACGGGAAGCUGGGGUGAUGGGAGCAAGAGAGUGGUGGAAGGUCUGGGCUGCCUCCUAGAGGGUUCCAGACUUAGAGGCUGGGUAGGAAGAACUUAAGUCUCUCUUUGGAACGUGAGCGCGACCUCCUAAUAAGGAGGGCUAGAUUGGACCCAUGUUAAUACUUUGAGUCUCGAAUCCUGCACUUUUAAAAUGCCUGGACCUGGACGCAGCAAACCAAUCCAAGGUAAUUAGUGCAGAACUGGACCUACGUGUAGCCAUUAUCUAUGCAGGAGUCAACACUGGUUUUUGACUCAGGCGUGUAUGUAUUUAAAUUUGUAGUAUUGGAGGCAUUAACAAUUUUUUCCCUACAAAGUAUUUUCUAAUUUCCCAACUGUUAACACUAGUCUUCAUUCCGCAGAGUUUUGAAAGCAGAUACAAUGUUGCCACAUUCUAAAUGGGAAGACUGUACCUUAGGUUUUGGAUUUUUUUUGGUUUUGUUUUGUUCUUUUGUUUUUCUUGGUAAAAGAUGGGUGUGACCAUUUCAAGCAGACACUUCUUUGUAGUUGAAUCACAGGCCUUCAUCCCAUUUUCGGUCAGUUUUGAUUAGAGGGAAGGGUAACAUAAAUGCAAUUUGUAGUGAAAUAAAGUUUUUUAGUUUCUUCUAUAAGUCCCCUUGGUCCCCUUAGUUUAGGGAAGUAAAUGCUUGGUUAUUAUGGUGGAAAGAACAUGAAGUUGGGGAGGGGGAGGUUAUAUCUGUGGAGGAAAUCAUUCCUUUCUGCAAGAGAAGGGGGUAGAAGAAAUGACCUCUUUGUGCCUUGGACACACACACACAAAAGAACCAUAGUGUUCAACAGGGUGACAGUUAUCUAUCUACUCAUGUUGAGGUCCACUGUGCAUACUGUGCGUCAAGCAGAGUAGCUCACACCUGUAAUUCCAACGCUCAAGAGGCCAAAGUCAGUCUGAGCCACACAGAUCUAGGCCCACGCAGGUCAGGGUUUCGGUUAUAGAUUCAUAUUCAUUCUUUUUCUCCCUCCCUCUCUCUCCUCUCCUCUUUUACACACACACAGAGGAAUGCACGCACACAUGCAUUAAUGAACUCUACCAUCACCACAAAUCUAGAUACAAAGCUUGGUGAUCUUAAGUCUGUGACCUUGACACUUAGGGACUGAGGCAGAACUCCAGGCCAAUCUGGAUAUGGACCCAGACUGACAUGAAUAUCCAUUAAACUGGAGAAUUGGUGCUAGCCAAGAAUUGCUCUUCAUCUGCAGGCUUCAAUGAUCUGACAGUUACACAAAUGGGGUCUAUGGGAAGUGUUCUCAUUAGAUGACAGAAUGUGUCACAGUAACUUCCUACUAUCUUGCUUCUGCUGAGAAAUCGGCAUGGUAUAGAGGAGUACAUAGUUAGGUUGUAUCUUAUCUUUGUUCUAGUUUAAUCACUAGCCCUAUAGACUAUACCUAUAAUUUAACAUGUACAGUCCGUUAAAAGUAACUUGAGGACAAUCCCUAUUUCACAGGGUGGAGUUUGAUCAGUUAAUUAUAUGUGAAUGAGUCCAACAGUGCCCAACUCAAUGCUUCCCUCUCUCCUAUGACUUCAUAUUAUUCUAAAGGACAUAUAUCCCCAGGUUUGCUGCUAAGUCAGGGGCAAUCAGACACCACAGAAAUAUUAAAACUAUUACCUCAGAAACACCUAUGUUUCAAGAAAUGAGUUUUAUCCAUGUGGAAGUACAGAAUGAUCACUGUGGCUACUGUUCAUCAUCAGACAAAAUAAUUAUCUUUCCAAUAAGGGACUUUAAAAAUGAUCAAUGAAAAAUUGUAUAUUAGACAACUUUCAUAUUCUGCAGCUGGGCGGUGUGACACACUACUCUAAUCUCAGCAUUUGGAUGGAGGCAGAGGCAGGUAAAUCUCUGAGUUUGAGGCCAGCCUGGUCUGCAGAAUGAGUUUUAGGACAGCCAGAGAUAGACAGAAUCCUUGUCUCAAAAAAACCAAACAAUAAAGAAUAUUCUGAGGGGGGAAAAAAAAGCGAAGACAGGAAAACAGUGGGUCAAGUGCACUCUUCCUAAGAGGUGCCACCUUUUCCUUAGAUGUGUUCUUCACACUAUGUCUGCCCUUACAGGCUGGCUGCCUGGUUCACUCAUUCCAAGGACAACUAGAACUAAAAAGACUUCGGGUCCUCUUCUGUGCAAAGUUAUUUCUGCAGAAAGUUUUAAGAGGGCAGCAUCUCUGGCCCAAUGGUGGUGACAGUGUGAGGUGUUCUGAAACUCAAUUUGUGGAAAGUCCUUUGCUCCAGAAGCUAGUAGUUCAUCUAAAUGAACUGAAGCCUACCUUUUUCUCAUCCCUGGGGCUGGAGGGCUCCAGUGGAAUUGUGUCAUCCACAGAACUUCCUCCUCACCACCUAUAAGAAGCCAAGAUAUCACUAGGUCUAUCCAGAAUAAUUCUGUGAUCCGUGAGAGCCAGUAAUGACUCAGCAGCAGACACUGCUGCUCCUUCCCAGAUAGAAUUAAAGGCAGAAGGAAGCUCCUCCCCCACUGAUGGCCACAUCCUUACCACAAACUGAGUCAUGGCCACACCCAGCCUGUAUGGAAAACUACCGAGGAUAGGAAGGAAGGUGAAGUUCAAGGAGUUUUUAAAUUUUGAGUCCAAUAUACUCUCUACUUAGCAUUGAGGAAAACAGUUCCUUUUCCUGACCCGUGAGGCAAGAUUGCUUACACUCAGAUAAAUGAAAGGUGGGCUGUCACUGGCCUCUGUGAAGAAUGCUGUCCUGUAGCUCACACUUGUCUUUAAGGACCCCAGCCCUUUCACCUUCUAAGUAGCCAGGCCCCCAAGUCUUCCUCCAUGGUUGUGAGCAGGUAAAAACACCAGACCCUACCAAGCAAUUUUCUCUGCAGUAGAGGCAUUCUUCUGUCAGAUAAGGCUUUUUCUUCCUUAUACUGCUGAGGAAUGAACCCAGACCUUUUAUGUAUUAAGCAGAGGUGCUGCAGCCUAGCCACAGCCCCUGCUUUCAGAAGGCAUUCUUGAUUUUGGCUAGAAUUUUUUAAUCUCAUGUUUUGAAUUAUCAGGCAUUAUGAACUUCUGAGAUUAGUUUUCCAGUGGAGAACUAUAAAAUAUGUAUGAUUUCAUUGAUAUAAAAAUGUUUAUAAGUAGGAAAUUUUUCUUAAUUUCUAAAACUGCCAAAAAUGCUAUAUAACAUGUGAGGAGCCACACCUAAGGUGGAGUUAGAGCACCAGCUGAUUUAUAACAGUAGCAAACUUAGUUAUGAAGUAGCAACAAGAAUAACUUCAUGGUUGGGGGCCACCACAAUAUGAGGAACUGUAUUAAGAGGUUGCCGCAUUAAGGAGGUUGAGAACCAUUGCUCCAGAUACAUUUACGGUCUCUGAAGAAAAUGUAUCUUCUAUCUUUGCUAUCAGCAGUAAAUGAGGCUAUAAUCACAGAACCAGAAAAGGAAUUCUGGAAUCAGGUUACUAUGAUUAGCUGUGGAACAUAGCAAAUUCCUUAUCCUCUAAGACUAUUUUCUCAUCUGUAAAAUGGGCCUAUUUCUGAGGCUUUUAUGAGAAUUAGGAGUUAAUAUAUAUGUAGCAUGCUUGCAACAACAUAUACUAACACAGUAGUAUAAGAUGUUAUCAAAAUAUUAAGGUACUCUGCACACUACCUGGAAACUAAUUUAUAAGAACUAAAGUAUGCUAGUAAUCUCUGAUACGGUAUCAUGGGUUACAAAGUCUUCUCAGGAGGAUUUUCAGUUGCAUGAGUCCACUGAUAGUCAUUUGGUGAACUAUUAUUUCUGUUAGGCCUGAGUCUUAGAAGAGUGUUAGAAUAUACUCGCUAUUUCCUUUUUGAGAUGGGAUUCUUGGUCAGUUGUUCACAUUGGUUUUGAAAUCCUGGGCUUAACUGGUUCUCCUGCCUUAGCCCCCAGAAGAUAAGCUGAGACUGUAGAUGAACCCUACCAUAGUCAUUUAUAAUGUACUAGUCAUAAGGACUUAGGAAGAUAAUGAAGUAGGUUCUUCAGGAAGGGUCUUUAAGAGUAGUAUUGACUUGUUCAAAAUGUCAGGAACCACAACACAAGUAAGAUACCUAGGUAAGAAGGUGUUGUGACAUACAAUAAAGGUCACAGAAGACAAUAACUAGUUUAUUGAAAGCAAUAGCUAUAGUAGAAUUUGAAAUUGUUAUCACUGGAAAGCUGGGCUUUUGCCAGGCAUGGUGUUGUGCCCACCUUUAAUCACAGCACUAGAGAGGCAGAGGCAGGCAGACCUCUGUGAGUUCAAAGACAGCCUGGUCUAUAAAGUGAAUUCCUGGACAGCCAGGGUUGCUGUACAGAGGAACCCUGUCUUGAAAAACUAUC